UGAUGCAAAAUUGGAGCCUUUCAACAGUUC
rnacentral:piRNA from 1 species